AAAACAUCUCUAAUUCCAACACAACUGCCCACAAUCAGGGGCAAGUCCACUAAUCAGCAAGUGAGUAAAUAAAUGGCCUGGGGCAAGACUUCAGGACUUGCACCAGCACCCCCUGCACCACAUGACACUGGUAGGGGAGAGUGAGCUUUAUAGCACAGGUCUUGGGAAGGCAGCCCUCCUGGUGUCCGGAGCCAGCCUACGCCUGAGGCUCCACGGGCUCACUUCACAGCCCAGCUGGAUGUGCAUGUCACUGGGCAACUGUGACACGAGCUUGCAGGUGACACCAAGACUGGCAAGCCCAGGCCCUGCUGCUGAGUUCCCAGUAGAGGUGGGCAGAGAAGGCACAUCCAUGGGGGGCACCAGAGUACAUCGUGGCACCGGAGCCCGACAGGCUGGGUUCCAAACCCCCUCCGCCACACACCAAUGUGGCCUCAGGCAGGGACCAGAGCAGGACACACGGAGAAGCUGGGCAGCUGGUUCCUAA
rnacentral:lncRNA from 1 species